UACGUAGGGUGCGAGCGUUGUCCGGAAUUACUGGGCGUAAAGAGCUCGUAGGUGGUUUGUCGCGUUGUUCGUGAAAACUCACAACUCAAUUGUGGGCGUGCGGGCGAUACGGGCAGACUGGAGUACUGCAGGGGAGACUGGAAUUCCUGGUGUAGCGGUGGAAUGCGCAGAUAUCAGGAGGAACACCGGUGGCGAAGGCGGCUUCCUGGACACUUACUGACGCUGAGACGCGAAAGCGUGGGGAGCAAACGGG
rnacentral:rRNA from 1 species